rnacentral:rRNA from 1 species
AAUAGAUACCCUGGUAGUCCACGCCGUAAACGAUGGAUGCUAGCUAUUGGGGGGAAUCGACCCCCUCCGAAGCGAAGCUAACGCGUUAAGCAUCCCGCCUGAGUAGUACGAGCGCAAGCUUAAAACUCAAAGGAAUUGACGGGGACCCGCACAAGCGGUGGAGCGUGUGGUUUAAUUCGAUGGUAAACGAAGAACCUUACCAAGGUUUGACAUCCCGGUAGCCGUUCUCCGAAAGGAGAAUUUCAUUUAGUUGGACCGGUGACAGGUGAUGCAUGGCCGUCGUCAGCUCGUGUCGUGAGAUGUUGGGUUAAGUCCCGCAACGAGCGCAACCCUUAUGAUUUAGUUGGAUUUUUCUAAACAGACUGCCCUGGUAACAGGGAGGAAGGAGGGGAUGAUGUCAGGUCAGUAUUUCCCUUACACCUUGGGGCGACACACGCGCUACAAUGGCCGGUACAAUGGGCAGCUAAGCCGCGAGGUGGAGCAAAUCCCAUCAAAGCCGGUCCCAGUUCGGAUUGCAGGCUGAAACCCGCUGCAUGAAGCCGGAAUCGCUAGUAACC